rnacentral:tRNA from 2 species
GAUCUGUUCGUCUAACGGUCCAGGACGCAAGAUUUUCAUUCUUGUAAUAUGGGUUCAACUCCCAUACAGAUUA